rnacentral:lncRNA from 1 species
CUGCCAAAAGAAAUGCACCUUAUAUCCAUUAUCUAUCCAUUCCAUCUUCAAUAUUCAAAGAAAAGAAAGCUCUCUCUGAAAAAGUUCGAAGCCAAGUAAUGGCAAAAGUGACGGCUGUCCCAAGAAUCAAUCCCAAGACCACACUCUAUACCCUACUGCCAGCGUGGAUUGGCUCUCCAAGAUGCUGGACCAGGCCCUUCCGUAUGCACCUCCAAAUGCUGCUGCAAGGUUGAAGCUGCUGGACGU